rnacentral:other from 1 species
AGAAGCCUGCGGUGCUCGUGAUGGCAACAUUUAUUUUUUUCCUUAUAAAUCACUAUCCUGGGAUUUCAAUAUUUGUUUUACAGGCGAAUUCUCUGGUAUCUUUUAUCUUAGAGCUUACCAUGAAACGUGAGAAAGCCCACAUUUAAAAAGAGGAUAGAAAAAUAAAGUACACACGGCACAGGCGGGCUUUUA